AGUUCGGCUGGACCGGAUACAGGUGCUGCAUGGCUGUCGUCAGCUCGUGUCGUGAGAUGUUGGGUUAAGUCCCGCAACGAGCGCAACCCUCGCCCUUAGUUGCCAGCAUUUAGUUGGGCACUCUAAGGGGACUGCCGGUGAUAAGCCGAGAGGAAGGUGGGGAUGACGUCAAGUCCUCAUGGCCCUUACGGGCUGGGCUACACACGUGCUACAAUGGCCGGCACAACGGGAAGCGAGUUCGCGAGGACGAGCGGAUCCCUCAAAGCCGGUCGCAGUUCGGAUUGAAGUCGGCAACUCGACUUCAUGAAGCUGGAAUCGCUAGUAAUCGUGGAUCAGCCAAGCCGCGGUGAAUACGUUCCCGGGCCUU
rnacentral:rRNA from 1 species